GGGGGGGGGGGGGGGGGGGGGGGGGACAGGGAGGGCGAGGGGGGCGGGCGGGGCGGGGGGCGCACGGGGGCGGGACGCGUGGGAACCUGCCCUGAGGUUCGGAAGAACUCCCCGAAAGGGGUGCUCAUACCGGAUAAUGUCUUCGGACCAAAGAUUGAUCGCCUUUGGAUGGGCCCGCGUGGGCUUAGCUAGUUGGUAGGGUAAAAGCCUACCAAGGCGACGCUCCAUAGCUGGUCUGAGAGGAUGAUCAGCCACACUGGGACUGAGACACGGCCCAGACUCCUACGGGAGGCAGCAGUGGGGAAUAUUGGACAAUGGGCGAAAGCCUGAUCCAGCAAUGCCGCGUGAGUGAUGAAGGCCUUAGGGUUGUAAAGCUCUUUUACCCGGGAUGAUAAUGACAGUACCGGGAGAAUAAGCUCCGGCUAACUCCGUG
rnacentral:rRNA from 1 species